GUGGAGCUUGCUCCAUGAUUCAGCGGCGGACGGGUGANUAAUGCCUAGGAAUCUGCCUGGUAGUGGGGGAUAACGUUUCGAAAGGAACGCUAAUACCGCAUACGUCCUAAGGGAGAAAGUGGGGGAUCUUCGGACCUCACGCUAUCAGAUGAGCCUAGGUCGGAUUAGCUAGUUGGUGGGGUAAUGGCCCACCAAGGCGACGAUCCGUAACUGGUCUGAGAGGAUGAUCAGUCACACUGGAACUGAGACACGGUCCAGACUCCUACGGGAGGCAGCAGUGGGGAAUAUUGGACAAUGGGCGAAAGCCUGAUCCAGCCAUGCCGCGUGUGUGAAGAAGGUCUUCGGAUUGUAAAGCACUUUAAGUUGGGAGGAAGGGCAGUAAGUUAAUACCUUGCUGUUUUGACGUUACCAACAGAAUAAGCACCGGCUAACUUCGUGCCAGCAGCCCGCGG
rnacentral:rRNA from 1 species